GGCUCUCCGGGGCAUGUGCACGCCUAACAUCAGCCUUUCUUUAACCACCUGUGCACCUUUCUGUAGACUUUGGAUACUCCUCGAGGAACCCCCCUCGGUUUGAGGACUGCUGUGCGACAGGCUAGCUUUCCUUGCAUUUUCAGUCUAUGUUUUUUUAUAUUAUACACCUAUAACAGAAUGUUAUUAAUUGGCUUUAAAUGCCUUUAAACUUAUACAACUUUCAACAACGGAUCUCUUGGCUCUCGCAUCGAUGAAGAACGCAGCGAAAUGCGAUAAGUAAUGUGAAUUGCAGAAUUCAGUGAAUCAUCGAAUCUUUGAACGCACCUUGCGCUCCUUGGUAUUCCGAGGAGCAUGCCUGUUUGAGUGUCAUGAAAUUCUCAACCUUUUCAACCUUUGUUUUGGUGGAUCAGGAUUGGAUGUGGGAGCUUGCAGGCUUGUUCAGAAGUCGGCUCUCCUUAAAUGCAUUAGUGGGACCUUUGUUAAGCCUAGCUUUGGUGUAGUAAUUAUCUAUGCCAUUUGCUCAAGCAGUAUACAAUGAGGUCUUGCUUCUAAUGGUCUCUCUUAGAGACACCUUC
rnacentral:rRNA from 1 species